rnacentral:lncRNA from 1 species
CGAUCUGCUCCUCGUCACAGCCUGGGUGUUCUGUCAGUUGCCCGUGCGGGACCGCUCGUUGGCCAGGAGACUAGGGCGUUUGCUAAGAAAGAAGCCGGGAGACGCUCCAGGGAGCAGCAGAGCAGACGCAGAGCCGUGUGCGCCGUUCCCCGCCCACCGAGGACCCAGUUUGCUGCAGCCUCAGACCUGGGCUUCUCCUUUAGCGCUACUGACAUCUUUGGACAAGUCAAUUCUCCGCUUAGCUACAUCCCUGGCCUCUGCCCACUGGGUGCCUGCAGAAACUGUGACCACCACAAAUACCUCCAAGCAUUGCCCGACGUCUCUUGGGGGCCAAAGUUGCCCUCAGUUGAGAUGCUCUGUGUUAGAGGCUAGAGAGGCAAAGCAUAAAAAGUGCAUCUUUUUAAAGGUGCUCAUGGUCCUCCCAGAACCUUGGUGGCACAGAAGUUGGUGGGGACGGGAUGGAAAGCAAGCCUGCUACAGCAAGCACUCGGUGCAGUGGCAUCUGAGACUCUCGAAACCACAAGCAAAGGCCUGGAAAGCGUAAGACUAUCCAGGCAGGGUUAACAGUGUGAGGUAGAUUGCUACUCUUAAAUAUAUAUCAAUAAUAUACAUGUGUGCGUGUAUAUAUAAAUGGUCAAUAGCAUAUUGAAUUUGUUCACACUGUUUACCCAGCAUAAUUUGCAGUUGGUCUGUAUUUGAUUAAGUGCCAUCAUCUUUUAUGUACGAGUUACAUAAGUAAAUAGAAAAAUCAUUUACAGUCCAACGCCCCAUGAAAAAUUAAUCUCAGGUCUGUCCCACACGGCCAUUCUGAGUCGAGCCGUGUGGCUCAUUGAAUGUCGGGCGGGGGUGGGGGUGUCAUGCGAGAUGCUCUGCAAACUCCAUUCCUCCAUCUUAAUAAGCUGGAAUCUUCAAGAAUGUUCCUCGAAUGUGUGGAUUCAAAACUAUAGUUGAUGGUUUUUUAAUCAAGUAAAUCUUGCAAAAGUUUCAAAACAACAAAUUAUUUAGUAUGUUUCAAGAAUGUUCCUCGAAUGUGUGGAUUCAAAACUAUAGUUGAUGGUUUUUUAAUCAAGUAAAUCUUGCAAAAGUUUCAAAACAACAAAUUAUUUAGUAUGUUGCCAGACCGGGAGCUUCUCCUGGGAA